GUCCACAGAUAGAAGUUGGAUACCGCUGUGUGUACGAGUGAUUAAGUGAGACACAAAUAAGACAGAAGUGCUUAUAACUGUAUGUUACUACAGCUUUCACAACUGUUGAUGCACUGAGCAGCCAUGUUGGAUUUAUAGCUCAGGGCACUCGGUGGUUGCCCGAGUUCCCGAGCUCUGUAAUCCGAGGUCAGGGGACGUGUUUCCGACUUUGACCUUUAGUUCGGAGUA